rnacentral:rRNA from 1 species
UACGAGGGGGGCAAGCGUUGUUCGGAAUUAUUGGGCGUAAAGGGCGCGUAGGCGGUGUCGCAAGUCCGUGGUGAAAUCUCUAGGCUCAACUUAGAGACUGCCGCGGAAACUGCGGUGCUUGAGUGUGGGAGGGGGCAGUGGAAUUCCUGGUGUAGCGGUGAAAUGCGUAGAUAGUCAGGAGGAACACCGAUGGCGAAGGCAGGUCUCUGGGCAUUAACUGACGCUGAGGAGCGAAAGCAUGGGGAGCGAACAGG